CCUACGGGAGGCAGCAGUGAGGAAUAUUGGUCAAUGGACGAGAGUCUGAACCAGCCAAGUAGCGUGAAGGAUGACUGCCCUAUGGGUUGUAAACUUCUUUUAUAUGGGAAUAAACUGUUCCACGUGUGGGAUUUUGUAUGUACCAUAUGAAUAAGGAUCGGCUAACUCCGUGCCAGCAGCCGCGGUAAUACGGAGGAUCCGAGCGUUAUCCGGAUUUAUUGGGUUUAAAGGGAGCGUAGGUGGAUUGUUAAGUCAGUUGUGAAAGUUUGCGGCUCAACCGUAAAAUUGCAGUUGACACUGGCAGUCUUGAGUACAGUAGAGGUGGGCGGAACUCGUGGUGUAGCGGUGAAAUGCUUAGAUAUCACGAAGAACUCCGAUUGCGAAGGCAGUUCACUGGACUGCAACUGACACUGAGGCUCGAAAGUGUGGGUAUCAAACAGGAUUAGAUACCCCGGUAGUC
rnacentral:rRNA from 1 species